GACGAACGCUGGCGGCGUGCUUAACACAUGCAAGUCGAACGGAAAGGCCCUGCUUUUGUUUGUUGCUCGAGUGGCGAACGGGUGAGUAACACGUGAGUAACCUGCCCUUGACUUUGUUAUAACUUCAGGAAACUGUGGCUAAUACCUGAUAUUAGCUCCUGCUGCAUGUUUUGUGUUGGAAAGUUUCGGCGGUUGGGGAUUGACUCGCGGCUUAUCAGCUUGUUGGUGGGGUAGUGGCUUACCAAGGCUUUGACGGGUAGCCGGCCUGAGAGGGUGACCGGACACAAUGGGACUGAGAUACGGAACAGAGUGCAACGGGAGGCAGCAGAGGGGAAUAUUGCACAAUGGGAGGAAGCAUGAUGAAGCAAAGCGGCGUGCGGGAUGAAGGACUUGGGGUUGUAAAACGAUUUCGCAUGUGACGAAGAGUGAGUGACGGUAAUGGGUAAAGAAGCAACGGCUAACUACGUG
rnacentral:rRNA from 1 species